GAUGAACGCUAGCUACAGGCUUAACACAUGCAAGUCGAGGGGAAACGGCAUUGAGUGCUUGCACUCUUUGGACGUCGACCGGCGCACGGGUGAGUAACGCGUAUCCAACCUUCCCAUUACUGUGGGAUAACCUGCCGAAAGGCAGACUAAUACCGCAUAGUCUUCGAUGACGGCAUCAGAUUUGAAGUAAAGAUUUAUCGGUAAUGGAUGGGGAUGCGUCUGAUUAGCUUGUUGGCGGGGUAACGGCCCACCAAGGCUACGAUCAGUAGGGGUUCUGAGAGGAAGGUCCCCCACAUUGGAACUGAGACACGGUCCAAACUCCUACGGGAGGCAGCAGUGAGGAAUAUUGGUCAAUGGACGGAAGUCUGAACCAGCCAAGUAGCGUGCAGGAUGACGGCCCUAUGGGUUGUAAACUGCUUUUGUAUGGGGAUAAAGUUAGGGACGUGUCCCUAUUUGCAGGUACCAUACGAAUAAGGACCGGCUAAUUCCGUGCCAGCAGCCGCGGUAAUACGGAAGGUCCAGGCGUUAUCCGGAUUUAUUGGGUUUAAAGGGAGCGUAGGCUGGAGAUUAAGUGUGUUGUGAAAUGUAGACGCUCAACGUCUGAAUUGCAGCGCAUACUGGUUUCCUUGAGUACGCACAACGUUGGCGGAAUUCGUCGUGUAGCGGUGAAAUGCUUAGAUAUAUGGAGGAACACCGGUGGCGAAAGCGGCUCUCUGGUCUGUAACUGACGCUGAGGCUCGAAAGCGUGGGGAGCGAACAGG
rnacentral:rRNA from 1 species